rnacentral:tRNA from 1 species
GCGAGAGUGGCGGAAUUGGCAGACGCGCUGGACUUAGGAUCCAGUGUCGAAAGACAUCCGGGUUCGAGUCCCGGCUCUCGCA